CCCUUAGAUGUCCGGGGCCGCACGCGCGCUACAAUGGAUGAAUCAACGCGUCAUCCUGGCCCGAAAGGGUUGGGGAACCGCUGAACCUCAUCCGUGGUUGGGAUUGGGGUUUGUAAUUAUUCCCCAUGAACUGGGAAUUCCCAGUAAGCGCGAGUCAUAAGCUCGCGUUGAUUACGUCCCUGCCCUUUGUACACACCGCCCGUCGCUACUACCGAUUGGAUGGUUUAGUGAGAUCCUCGGAUUGGUCACGGCACGGUGGCAACACUGCGUCGGUGUGCCGAGAAGACGAUCAAACUUGAUCAUCUAGAGGAAGUAAAAGUCGUAACA
rnacentral:rRNA from 1 species